UACGAAGGGGGCUAGCGUUGCUCGGAAUCACUGGGCGUAAAGCGUGCGUAGGCUGUUUGGCAAGUUGGAAGUGAAAGCCCAGGGCUCAACUUUGGAAUUGCUUUCAAAACUGCCAGACUCGAAUCCGGGAGAGGAUAGCGGAAUUUCCAGUGUAGUAGUGAAAUACGUAGAUAUUGGAAGGAACACCAGUGGCGUAAGCGGCUAUCUGGACCGGCAUUGACGCUGAGGCACGAAAGCGUGGGGAUCAAACAGG
rnacentral:rRNA from 1 species